ensembl:lncRNA
CCCGGACCGAACCCUGUCAGAGAGGUGUUCCAGAGACAGCCAGGCGAGGUGUGUGUGGCCUGGACUCCUCAACCACAGCACCAAGCCCAACACCAGUACCAAGCCCAGCACCAAGCCCAGCACCAGCACCAAGCCCAGCACCAAUCCCAACACCAGCGCCAACCACAGCACCAAGCUCAGCACCAGCACCAAGCCCAACACCAGCACCAAGCCCAACACCAAGCCCAGCACCAAGCCCAACACCAAGCCCAGCACCAAGCCCAGCACCAAGCCCAACACCAGCACCAAGCCCAGCACCAAGCCCAACACCAGCACCAACACCAAGCCCAGCACCAAGCCCAACACCAAGCCCAGCACAUAGCCCAGCAACAAGCCCAACACCAGCACCAAGCCCAACACCAGCGCCAACCACAGCACCAAGCCCAGCACCAGCACCAAGCCCAACACCAGCACCAAGCCCAACACCAAGCCCAGCACCAAGCCCAACACCAAGCCCAGAACCAAGCCCAGCACCAAGCCCAGAACCAAGCCCAGCACCAAGCCCAACACCAGCACCAAGCCCAACACCAAGCCCAGCACCAAGCCCAGCACCAAUACCAGUCCCAUCUUCAGUCCCAGCCCAACCAGGAACCAGACCUCCAGCUGACCACAGCCCACUAUCAACCAGGAAACAGACCUCCAGCUGACCACAGCCCACUCUCAACCAGGAACCAGACCUCCAGCUGACCACAGCCCACUCUCAGACCUCCAGCUGACCCCAGCCCACCAGGAACCAGACCUCCAGCUGACCACAGCCCAAUCUCAACCAGGAAACAGACCUCCGCUCUGCUCCGCUCGCUUACCAAGAAUAGGAGAGGAACUAACUGGGCCCAUAUUGUGUCUCCACAUCCCAGAAGGACAAUAAAUAAAUGAGUAUGUUUAUAAUCUCACAAAGAGAGAACAAUGAAGUUGGAGAGAGAGAGGGUCUCAACAGUGUGUUCAGUAAAGGGUCUCUGACUGUCAACAAA